UCUUUUACUAUACAUGUUAUUUGUAUUAUAUGUGCUGUAUUUUGUCUCUAUGUGGGCCUAGUUCGUCUUCAGGGUCAUCUGUAUACAAUAUGUGUACUCUUAAGUGUGUAUGGUUUGGAGUUUGUGUAUAUUUAUGUGUUCCUAUGCUGUAAUGUAUUUAAGUUAAACAAAUGUGUGUCUAUAAUUAAGUGUGUGUGAAUCAGUGUUUUAGUCCUGUGUGUUUAAAGCUGUUUUGUUGCCACUAUCUUUCCUCACCCCUUGGCUCUGCCCUCUUCCCUCCUUCCCUCCUUCCCUCCCUCCAGGACAAGACGAGCGCUCUGAGCCUCAGCAAUGUGGCGGGGGUCUUCUACAUCCUGAUCGGCGGCCUGGGCCUGGCCAUGCUGGUGGCGCUGGUGGAGUUCUGCUACAAGUCCAGGACCGAGUCGCGCCGAAUGAAGGUGUCCACCGCGCGAGCCGCUGCCGCCUCAGCCGCUCAGGCCUUUCACUGCUCAGCCUUAGACAGUGGUGCUAGCGCCCCCUACACAGAGCUGCAGAGCUACGGCCUGUACGCCAACAACACUGUUAAGAUAUAAGGGCAGAGCACAGCCAUGGGAAAUCCAUCAACGACGCCAUGCGCUGCUCCACCCUGACCCGAAUGAGUGGCAACGGAAGCGGCGGAGAGAACGGACGAAUCCUCACCCACGACUUCCCCAAGACCGUUCAGACGCUGCCCUGUAUGAGCCACACCGCCAGCAUGGGACUGGGUGCCUCCGGCAUGUGAUCCUCACAUGACUGUGCUGGCGGCGAGGAAUAGGCAGGGUGAGGCAGAAAAAGAGCACAAGACUCUAAAUCUCAAAAAUCAUGGCUGUUUGGUUUGACCCAUCUUUCCUCCUGGCUGUCAACGUGCCCGACUUGAACAAGACUUUACCUACUGCCAAAAUGCACUCUCGAACCGCUCAUUACAAAACUGAGACUCGCAACAUUUUUUUUAAUAAGUGGAUGUUUGAAAAAACAGACACUGAGAAAAAAAAAAAAGGAAUUUGUGCUGCAAUAAAGAAGCCGUCAACGGGGCGUGUUUUUGGAAUUUUUUACAGUGUUAAUUUUUGUGGGAAAAAAAUUACUUUAUUGUUUAGUGUGACGCCUGCGCUGUGCCAUUUCGAUGGAGCUGUUGACGUAAGUCUGCUUGUGCAAUAUCUUCACUUCCACUGCUGACCUUGUACUACCUAGAUGCUUUCUGAUGGCUGAUGGAACAUGUCUUUGCACAGAUGUGGCAGGGGUGGACAAACACUUGUGACUGCUACAAUGAUUUCAUAUUGUUUUGGGACACUCCUGUUCUCUUUCCCUCUCACAUUUACACGCCAUUUUGGGACGACAAAGUGCUCUGAGGAGCAAAGACAGAUUUUAAGAUAAAGUAUAUGGUUUUACAAAACUGUAAUAGCUCAAAGAUAUUUGUCAAAAGGUUGAUUCGAUUUAUCCGCAACUGAAGGUGAACACUGUUUACAUCAGCAGUUGACCAGGCCACAACAAACAUGCAUUGCUGCUACACCUCAUUUUAACACAACAUGCCUUGUCUUUGUGCCAUAUGACCAUUCUCACACAUACACACAGAUACACACUUGUUUCUCCUGGGUAAGAGUUCAUAAUUUAGUCAGAGAUUCAGAAAUCACUUGACCUAACAAAGGCUAUAACAGGAAAAAAACAAAACACUGACACAUUACUCCGUGGCUUUGUACAGUACUGAGUGACCUUACACUGUAUUCUACUGUUGUGACAUUCAUAGCAUAUCCAUUGAUAUACUGGGGAGUCUAUUUGCAGCAAACAUUGAAGAACAAUGAUUGACAGAUUCAGAUAUAAUCUGCAGAAAAUAUUCUUCAAACUAUUGUUGGAGCUGCAUAAUUCCCUCCCUCCUGUGAUGUAUUUUCAGCUGUAUUCAGUUUUUAUUGAUAUUGGCAGUGAAGCCACUCAAUUCAUCCCCUGCAGAUCGUGCGCGACCUAUAAAGGGGAAAUUGGCCUCCUCUAGCUAGCUUAGAAUUGAAACAUGCGAUGUGACUGGCAGACUCACCUUCACAUUUGUCCGUGUUUAUUAACUGUCAAGGUUUCCGUUUGUCCCAUACUGCCUGGCUGUAGAGUUCUUCCUUUUUCAGAUGUCAUGUAAACAGAAUUAGAGCGGCGGGUCCUGAACAGCAGAGGGCAGAGAUGACAAAGGGCAGACUGCCUCGGUUUGGCAUGAUAAACCAAAAUUCCACCAUUUCAAUACUUCUAACACAAAAUGACUAUUGGUGAUGUGCUUUGCAUUUCUAGUGUCGUUAUGUCCGUUAGUGGUACACAUAGCAGAAAACAGACUUCGGGUCAUAACAGGCAAUUUCAAUGAAAGAAAAUAAUAAGGCUGGCAUAAUUAUAUAUUUUAUUUUUGUCAACAAAUAUUGUGAAAAAACACAACAACAGGAUGUCAUCUAUUUGAAGGAUUUGGCAAUAUAUGACACAAUAUGUGAUGACAUUUUCAGUUUGCCAUCCAACAAAUCGGAUGAAACAGCACCCACGUAAUCCCAACAAAGCUGAUUACUUUUCAGUGUUAAACUAUUAAUGAACUUAACAAGUUUUUAUGACUUUGAUUUUGCAUUUCUUAAUGAAUGUGUAAUGUUUCGAUGGGAUUUAAAACUUCUUAACUCCUUACCCCGCUCGUGUCUACAGAAGGCGUACAUAUUAAAAACAUCUCACAAAUGUAAUGUUUUAAAUUUAAAGAAUGCUUGGUAUUUUUGCUAAAACAACCGACUUGGUUAUGUAGUUUUGUGAAAAUGUUACUUAAAUGGGACCUAUCAUGCUUUUGUACGUCUUUUAUACAUGAAUAUGUGUCCCAGGUGUG